rnacentral:tRNA from 1 species
CAGAACAUAACUUAAAGAAAGUACUUCGCUUACACCGAACAAAUGUCUGUUAACCCAGACUGUUCUGAA